rnacentral:misc_RNA from 1 species
CAGAGUUGCAAGACUCCCUAAACCAUUGUGAACCUACCUUCUACCGUUGCUUCGGCGGGCGGGCCCAGCGCCCCCCCGGCCCCCCGCGGGCGCCCGCCGGAGGAUAUCCAAACUCUUGACAUUAGUGGCCUCUCUGAGUAUUCUUUACUGAAUAAGUCA